rnacentral:rRNA from 1 species
CAGGAUGAACGCUAGCGACAGGCCUAACACAUGCAAGUCGAGGGGCAGCACAAGGAGCAAUCUGAGGUGGCGACCGGCGCACGGGUGAGUAACACGUAUGCAACCUGCCUGUAAGCGGGGAAUAACCCGUUGAAAGACGGACUAAUACCGCAUAAUACUAAAUUACUGCAUGGUAAUUUAUUUAAACAUUUAUGGCUUACAGAUGGGCAUGCGCAUGAUUAGCUAGUUGGAGAGGUAACGGCUCCCCAAGGCAACGAUCAUUAGGGGUUCUGAGAGGAAGGUCCCCCACACUGGUACUGAGACACGGACCAGACUCCUACGGGAGGCAGCAGUGAGGAAUAUUGGUCAAUGGACGAGAGUCUGAACCAGCCAAGUCGCGUGCAGGAAGAAUGUCCCUAUGGAUUGUAAACUGCUUUUGCAGGGGAAUAAAGUGCAUCACGUGUGAUGUUUUGUAUGUACUCUGCGAAUAAGGAUCGGCUAACUCCGUGCCAGCCGCGGC